rnacentral:rRNA from 1 species
GAGCGGAGGUAGAUGGAGCUUGCUCUAUGUACCUUAGCAGCGAACGGGUGAGUAACACGUAGAUAAUCUGUCCUAUAUUGGGGGAUAGCCCGAUGAAAGUUGGAUUAAUACCGCAUACAGCUAUAUAGUUGCAUGAUUAUAUAGUGAAAGAUUUAUUGAUAUAGGAGGAGUCUGCGGCACAUUAGCUAGUAGGUGAGGUAAGAGCUUACCUAGGCGACGAUGUGUAGCUGGUCUGAGAGGAUGAACGGCCACAAUGGAACUGAGACACGGUCCAUACUCCUACGGGAGGCAGCAGCGGGGAAUAUUGCACAAUGGGGGAAACCCUGAUGCAGCAACGCCGCGUGAGUGAAGAAGGUUUUCGGAUUGUAAAGCUCUGUUAGCAGGGAAGAGGAAGGACGGUACCUGCAGAGGAAGCCACGGCUAACUACGUGCCAGCAGCCGCGGUAAUACGUAGGUGGCAAGCGUUGUUCGGAAUAACUGGGCGUAAAGGAUGCGUAGGCGGUUAAAUAAGUUAUAUGUUAAAUAUAUAGGCUUAACCUGUAGAAAGCAUAUAAAACUGUUUAACUAGAGUGCAGGAGAGGUAAGUGGAAUUCCUAGUGUAGCGGUGAAAUGCGUAGAGAUUAGGAAGAACACCAGUGGCGAAGGCGACUUACUGGACUGU